AUGGAAGGUAUGUCAAUGGAGAUCGUUCCGGCGACCGGCGAAACGGAAGGUAUGUCAAUGGAGAUCGUUCCCGCGACAGGCGAAAGGGAAGAUAUGAUGGAUGCAACCCCUGGUGAAAUGGAAGGUAUGCCAAUGGAGGACUCCUUGAUCGAUGGCAACAGGUAUAUGAGCUGGUCUUCUGUGUUUCGUUGUUCCUUUGUUCGCCCGGCCGGCCGGCCGACGUCUUCCGAGUACAACGAAUACGGCCGGCGGCGAUUGUUGUACCAACUAUUUUUUGUAUACCACGUCAAGGUUGUGGUAGAAAAUGAAGAAGAAUUACUUGAUCUCCCACCUGAAUACGCGGAUCCAGCGAUCCUUGUUCCUAAGGGAAAAAAUCCUAAGACAAAAAAACCUUCAGUACGUGUUGGUUGUGGCGCUAUGUUGAGGAUUAAUAGACCAACUGGUGAGGGGUCGUGGACAGUGACUAAGUUUGUAGAGGACCAUAACCAUGAGCUUAAGGAGACAAUUGGUGUGACUAAGAAUUACAAGUCACAUAAUCAAAUUGAUGAGGGGACUAGACAUGUCAUUGCCGACAUGGUGGAUAGCGGUAUGAGGUCGACCAACAUGUAUGGUUUAUUGUCAGGGUUUUGUGGAGGAGCUUCAAUGGUCCCGUUCUCACGUAGGAUGAUGGACAGACUAGCUUAUGCUAUCAAGAGGGAUGAGUGCAGUGAAGAUGUAGAGCUGACCCUUGAUCUUUUCAAAGAGUUGCAGAGCAAUUCCAGCAAUUUUUUCUAUAGUGUGCAAGUUGACAAGGCAUGCCGUGUGAAGAAUAUAUUCUGGUCUCAUGCUGUAUCGAGGAGGAAUUUUCAGGCCUUUGGUGAUGUUGUGACGUUUGAUACUACAUAUAAGACUAAUAGUUACAACAUGCCAUUUGCUCCGUUUGAAGUGCAUGAAUGGAAAGGAGCCGCAGUGCAUACUUACCGCACUAGAGAAACAUUCAAAGAAGACUUUCACAAGGUGUUAACUCAGAUGUUGACAGUAGAUGAGUUUGAGGGGGCAUGGAAGGAAUUAAUUUCCGAGUAUAAGCUGGAAGAUUGUGUGUAUCUGAAGCAGAUGUGGGAUAUCAGGGAAAAGUGGGCAUUCCCUUAUUUUGGGCACUUGUUCUAUGCUGGAAUGACAACUACACAGAGGAGCGAGUCAGUUAAUUAUGUCUUGAAAAGGUUUGUCAUGCCGGCCUCUUCGAUGAAUGGUUUCGUAAAGAAGUAUGAGAGAUUCUUCAUAGACAGAUUACAGAUGGAAGAUUAUGAGGAAUUUCAUACUAAACAUGACAAAGUUGUUAUGAAGACUAGAUCACCAUUGGAAAGACAUGCUUCAAAGGUAUAUACUCGUGGUGUAUUCAACUUAUUUGUGGAUCAGCUAUCGAAAAGUUUGUCCUUCAAGGUCGUCGCCACUGAUGAGGAGAGUGUUUUUAAAAUAGUACGUAUUGGGGGUUUUGCUCGGAACAUCUGGCGACGGCACCAUUAUGAAGUGUAUGCAGACCUUGAAAGCAUGACAUUUUCGUGUGUAUGUAAGAUGUUUGAGCACAAGGGUAUACUGUGUUGUUAUGUGCUUAGUGUCCUGAUACAUGAUGGCUGUGCUGAGAUCCCAGAGCAGUAUGUCUUGAAGCGAUGGAGGAAGGAUGCUAGAGACUGUGUGCCUUCAUUCCUGGAGGGUUACAAAGAUGAUGUCGAUGCCGCUGCUUCACAGACGUACAGACAUCUGGUGCUCCAUACAACAUCAGAGGAGGUAACUCGUCUUGGUAACAAAUACAUGAAGGCUUACAAGGUUGCCAUGGAAGACCUAUCUCAAUUGGUGGAAAAACUUAGAAAGGUCUGCCUGGAGGAAGAGCAGGCUAAUCUGGAAGGGGCAGAAGUUCAGGGUGAGGGACAUAAUCAGACGCAUGAUCCUACAAUAGCUGAUGGUGAUAGAACCUCAAGAGAAGGAGAUAGUACUCCCCAUGUCCAUGAAGUCAGUGAAGGCCCAUUCGAGGAAGGGGUGAGUAUGGAAGAUAUUUUGCCACCUAUAAAGAAUCGUCCGAGAGGCAGGCCAAAAACUACAAGAUGGAAAACUGGUGGGGAAGCAGCUAGUACAAAGAAGAGUGGUAAGAAAGUGGGUGGCAGUAGUGAUAGCACAAAGCAAGGUGGCAAUGCUUCUGGGAAGAAAGAGUCUGACAUCAUUAGGUAUUGUGGAGACUGUGGUGACCCGGGACAUAAUAAGUCUACAUGUGGGAAGCCGUCCACGUACAAGAGGAAAUAG
rnacentral:rRNA from 1 species